rnacentral:rRNA from 1 species
UACGUAGGGGCUAGCGUUGUCCGGAAUCAUUGGGCGUAAAGAGCGUGUAGGCGGUCCGGUAAGUCCGCUGUGAAAGUCCAGGGCUCAACCCUGGAAUGCCGGUGGAUACUGUCGGGCUAGAGUCCGGAAGAGGCGAGUGGAAUUCCUGGUGUAGCGGUGAAAUGCGCAGAUAUCAGGAGGAACACCGAUGGCGAAGGCAGCUCGCUGGGACGGUACUGACGCUGAGACGCGAAAGCGUGGGGAGCAAACAGG